CAACAUUACAGUUAUGAAGUAGCAACGAAAAUAAUUUUAUGGUUGGGUCACAACAUGAGGAACUGUAUUUAAAGGGCCAGAAGGUUGAGAACCACUGCAUAGAUUUUGAAUUCCUCUGCUAGAUCUCCUGGUACAGGUUAACCCUGAAGCUCUCUCUCCCUUUUACUUUGUUAUGGCUUUCCCAGAAUUUAUGAGAAGCACCUGGCAAUUAAAUCCCAAAACUGCUGGCUUCUCUGUUCAAACAGCGGGAGGAGACAAGCCUGCCCUCUUCCUCCCGCCUCCCAGCCUCAUCUGUUAGUUUCAGGGCGAUUUAAGCUGUGUAUUCUCUAGUUGCAUUAAGGUUCCUUCCCUUCUCCCCCUCCCCUCCCCCUCCUCGCCAGCAUUCCUUGGAGAGACAACCGUUUGCUCUCAAGCUCCCUGGCUGGGGGAAGAUAAGGGCUUGCUAUUUACAAGCUGGUUGCAGGCUGCCAAACUGCUUGGCCUUGUUUAAUUUUGUCUCAGUUUCCCUAUUCCUCCUGCCUUGGAAUUUUUCUUGCUUUUUGCUGAAAUAUGCAAAGCGGUAGUUACCUGUGAACUUGGUCCAGGCUAGUGGCUGAACUCACCCAGAAGUUGAGGGCACUCGGGCCAGCAGGCACUCCUCAGCGUGUGGGACCAAUUGGCCCGACGGCCCUUUCUUUCCCCUGUGUCUUCAGCUGGUGCUGCACCUGCUGCUUUGCAGAUGGAGUGCUGCAUGCAGACCCUUUCAUGAAGGUGUGGGAACCAGUGUGGCAGGGACAGAACCCUCAGGGUCACCUCCUCAGUGUCCUGAGGUGCAGUCUCUGGAGGGGUGACCUGCCAAGGAAAAGGAGGUGCUGUCCGCUGCAAAAACACAGGUGACAGUCGAAAGGGGGUCCAGGAGCUGGUGCAUGCCUCUGCCAGGCAGAUGGUGACGUAGAUACUGGGCCCUUCCUAGAAUCCGUAACAGGCCAGUGCACCAGGUAGAUGGUGACGCAGAUACCGGUCCCGCCCUGGAAUUCCUAACAGGUCAGCUACCAGGCAGAUGACGACACCUGGAAACCGUGACGACCCCCGCGGUGGGAACUCCCACAGCUCAUGCUCCCCCACCCUCACUGAACAGCUGUAUAAAAAAAAGCGCCCCCCUCCCUGUUGGUGCGGAUCCACGUGCCCUGUCUUUGGGGCCCGUGGGCCGCCUGGGGACACAGAAUAAAGCCUUUCCUUUCUUUCUUUUCUGAUUA